rnacentral:rRNA from 1 species
UUAAAUUGAAGAGUUUGAUCAUGGCUCAGAUUGAACGCUGGCGGCAGGCCUAACACAUGCAAGUCGAACGGUAACAGGAAUCAGCUUGCUGAUUCGCUGACGAGUGGCGGACGGGUGAGUAAUGUCUGGGAAACUGCCUGAUGGAGGGGGAUAACUACUGGAAACGGUAGCUAAUACCGCAUAACGUCGCAAGACCAAAGAGGGGGACCUUCGGGCCUCUUGCCAUCAGAUGUGCCCAGAUGGGAUUAGCUAGUAGGUGGGGUAACGGCUCACCUAGGCGACGAUCCCUAGCUGGUCUGAGAGGAUGACCAGCCACACUGGAACUGAGACACGGUCCAGACUCCUACGGGAGGCAGCAGUGGGGAAUAUUGCACAAUGGGCGCAAGCCUGAUGCAGCCAUGCCGCGUGUAUGAAGAAGGCCUUCGGGUUGUAAAGUACUUUCAGCGGGGAGGAAGGGAGUAAAGUUAAUACCUUUGCUCAUUGACGUUACCCGCAGAAGAAGCACCGGCUAACUCCGUGCCAGCAGCCGCGGUAAUACGGAGGGUGCAAGCGUUAAUCGGAAUUACUGGGCGUAAAGCGCACGCAGGCGGUUUGUUAAGUCAGAUGUGAAAUCCCCGGGCUCAACCUGGGAACUGCAUCUGAUACUGGCAAGCUUGAGUCUCGUAGAGGGGGGUAGAAUUCCAGGUGUAGCGGUGAAAUGCGUAGAGAUCUGGAGGAAUACCGGUGGCGAAGGCGGCCCCCUGGACGAAGACUGACGCUCAGGUGCGAAAGCGUGGGGAGCAAACAGGAUUAGAUACCCUGGUAGUCCACGCCGUAAACGAUGUCGACUUGGAGGUUGUGCCCUUGAGGCGUGGCUUCCGGAGCUAACGCGUUAAGUCGACCGCCUGGGGAGUACGGCCGCAAGGUUAAAACUCAAAUGAAUUGACGGGGGCCCGCACAAGCGGUGGAGCAUGUGGUUUAAUUCGAUGCAACGCGAAGAACCUUACCUGGUCUUGACAUCCACAGAACUUUCCAGAGAUGGAUUGGUGCCUUCGGGAACUGUGAGACAGGUGCUGCAUGGCUGUCGUCAGCUCGUGUUGUGAAAUGUUGGGUUAAGUCCCGCAACGAGCGCAACCCUUAUCCUUUGUUGCCAGCGGUCCGGCCGGGAACUCAAAGGAGACUGCCAGUGAUAAACUGGAGGAAGGUGGGGAUGACGUCAAGUCAUCAUGGCCCUUACGACCAGGGCUACACACGUGCUACAAUGGCGCAUACAAAGAGAAGCGACCUCGCGAGAGCAAGCGGACCUCAUAAAGUGCGUCGUAGUCCGGAUUGGAGUCUGCAACUCGACUCCAUGAAGUCGGAAUCGCUAGUAAUCGUGGAUCAGAAUGCCACGGUGAAUACGUUCCCGGGCCUUGUACACACCGCCCGUCACACCAUGGGAGUGGGUUGCAAAAGAAGUAGGUAGCUUAACCUUCGGGAGGGCGCUUACCACUUUGUGAUUCAUGACUGGGGUGAAGUCGUAACAAGGUAACCGUAGGGGAACCUGCGGUUGGAUCACCUCCUUACCUUAAAGAAGC